CACUUUCCUUUACUGACUGGCUUUUAACAGCAAAGGCCAUGCAGUUGAGCCUGGCCACGCACAGGUGGCCAAUGAGAUUGUAACACACAGAGAAAGCUACACAGUCAUGCUAGGUGACGAAUUGAAUUACAAUUUACCCUAGUAGACA